AUGAUUCCACACCCGCCCCACCUCGGCGUGAUGACUCCACCGCGCUCCUCGCUACCGCGUGAUGACUCCGCCGCCGCGCUACUUGCUCCGUGCCUCCUCCCUCUUUCCCCGACGGAGAUGAGGUAGUUCCCCACCGCCACCGCACUCCACCGCGGCCUGCCCUCGCCGGCGCUGCUCACCCUCGCGUCGAUGGAUCCGACGCCCUACGCCCACCGCCCUCCAGCCAUCCGCUGCCGUCUGGCGUCUAUCGCCGUCAGUAUUGGAUGCAGGCCGCUGCCCCGGCGUCGACUGCUCUCACUAUUGGAUCAAGGCCGUCAACCACCGUCGGGCGUCAUCCACUGCCACGGCCGCCCGCCGCCCAAUCGAGCAGGCCAACACCCCAUCUCCAACGCCUGCGAGCCUUGUAGGUGAACCAUGUACAGAGGAUGCUGGUGGAGGUGUGGGGGCUAAUCACUAAUCAAACAUAUUUUCGUGGAUCUAACUUAUUACCUGAGUUCUCCUCUUUGGUGAUGGAGCCGGUUCAGGUGCCCUGUAUGCCUGUAAUGGAAUAGUUGCCACAUCCCCAGGAAAUCAAGUAAUUUAAAUACUUCUCUAUUGAAUAAACUACAUAAACGACAUAACGGUGAUUCAGUAGUUUUUAUCAUUAUAGUUGUUAUCGUUGUUUUUUUGCUGGUGACGGUGCUCUUAUACUGAUAAUGCAUAAUGAAUCACUGUGCCAUGAGUAAAAUCUGUUUUAUUGUAGAAGGAGUAAAAACUGUUCACUUGUUGCGUUAAUGUGUCCCUGACUCCCUGACAUGUCAAGGAGACUGACAAAAGGAUUUGAAAUAUUCCAAUCGAUGUGGUACUUCUUCACUAAUUCGUUAUCAGAAUGGUUCCAAUGAUGCAGCAUAGGAGGAGGAAGAAGGUUCAAAAUUCAAGCACAAUGGAAGUCGGCAAGCACACAUGUGGAUUCAGAUAUGCAGUGAAUAAACAAAGAAACAGUCUAUUUCUGCCAUAAAAGAUUUUUUUGGACAUGAUAUUUCUGCCAUUAAAGAUUGGCAAUUGAACGAACGAAUGUGUAUGACCCCACCCACACGUCGACGCCCAUGUUGAUUUAGAUUAUUCUAGGUAGAUAACAUUGUACUUUUGUGGCGCUUUGUAGGCAUGGUCUGUUGCAUACACUGGUCGUUGUAGAUGCUGAAUGCAUCGUCGAAUUAAGCUAGGAAUGUGAUUGAGGGGCCGAUGAUGAUUAUGGUGUUUGUCACGAGUAACAUUGACCUGAUGGUGCCGGCGUUCAACACAACGGGUGACUAGUUGAAUGGUCAAGCGGCUGCUUACGCUGGUGCCUAGGUUGGUAGACCUGGCGUGCUCAAGAUCACCAGCGCGGUGAGCAUCUCUGCCACCGAUGCUAGGUGGUUGCUGAGGUGAUGUUCUUCAACAGUGGGAUCCCAUUGCUGCUCAUUGUCGAAUGGGAUGGCAAGCCAGUUGGUGAUGGUACCUAAACUAAGUUUUGAUUAAUUGGAGCAGUGCUGAUUGGAAAGAGAAUAUUAUUGGAGCAAUAUUAUUGGGAAAAUGUAUUUUGUGGGAGCAGUUUGGCAAGGGUUUUAUUGGAGCAAUUCUGGUUGGAAUUAUAUUUGUAUCGGAUCAAUACUGAUUGGAAAGGAUUUUAUCAGACCAAUGUUGAUUAGGAAGGUUUGUGUAAGUGUGGUCAGAAGUUUAUCCCUUCGCAAUUCAAUAGAUUCACUCUAUUAUGCUUACAAGAACUAAUGUGCUUUUUUUUUUGAAAGAAUUAUUUUCUUUGAGAUCUUGAUGUUUCUUGUCCAGGCAUUCCCAUGAGUUGCAAAUCCAAGGAAGUUGAUAACACCCAUAGUCUCAUACAAUGGAAAGUUAACCUUUCUGCAAUAUUUCAGUUUGUCUCAACUUUCAAUUAGCACAAACCGCUGCAGAGGCCAAAGCAACAAAAGCCAUUUUGGCACAGUUGCAGUGCCUAGAAAACAUCAGAAAUUGAGAAGAAUAUAUACUUUGUGUGGUGAAUGUGAGCUUGAAGUGCAAGAAGGUAGAUGAGCAGUUAGACCUUUCUCAGAAGUAAAGCGUCUUCAAGCACAACUUCUGGCUUUUGGGAGUCUCUGAGAUCGACAUGUUCCUAGCUAAUCGAUUUAUCAACUUCAAUAUCAUCAUUUAGUAAACUUAUAGUACUUUGUUAACAUGGAAUUAGGUGUGUGACUUCUAAAGUUAUAUAAAGUAUCAUCAAGAGUAAAGUCCA